GCCAGUGUGAUAUAGUGGUUUGUGUGUGGGACUAGGACUCUGGAGGUCAGGGUUCGAUUCCCUGUUUGGCC